rnacentral:sRNA from 1 species
UUUUAGCCCUGAUGGAAGUGGCAUCCUUUUUAUUUUUUUCUUUAAAAAAUAAAAAGAUAAAACGGACAGCAGGAUUAAGC